CCCUUAGAUGUCCUGGGCCGCACGCGCGUUACACUGAUGCAUUCAACGAGCUUAUAACCUUGGCCGAGAGGCCUGGGCAAUCUUGUUAACGUGCAUCGUGAUAGGGAUAGAUUAUUGAAAUUAUUAAUCUUGAACGAGGAAUUCCUAGUAAACGCAGAUCAUCAAUCUGCAUUGAUUACGUCCCUGCCCUUUGUACACACCGCCCGUCGCACCUAACGAUUGGAUGGUCCGGUGAAGCCUCGGGAUUGUGGUUCUUGCCGCUUUAUUGUGGCGUGACCGCGAGAACUUGUCUAAACCUUAUCAUCUAGAGGAAGGUGAAGUCGUAACA
rnacentral:rRNA from 1 species